GCUGGAAUCGCUAGUAAUCGCGAAUCAGAAUGUCGCGGUGAAUACGUUCCCGGGUCUUGUACACACCGCCCGUCACACCAUGGGAGUCGGAAAUGCCCGAAGUCAGUGACCCAACCGCAAGGAGGGAGCUGCCGAAGGUGGAGCCGGUAACUGGGGUGAAGUCGUAACAAGGUAUC
rnacentral:rRNA from 1 species